GACGAACGCUGGCGGCGUGCUUAACACAUGCAAGUCGAACGGAAAGGCCCUGCUUUUGUGGGGUGCUCGAGUGGCGAACGGGUGAGUAACACGUGUGUAACCUGCCCUUGACGUUGGGAUAACUUCAAGAAACUGGGGCUAAUACCGGAUAGGAGCUCCUGCUGCAUGGGGGGGGUUGGAAAGUUUCGGCGGUUGGGGAUGGACUCGCGGCUUAUCAGCUUGUUGGUGGGGUAGUGGCUUACCAAGUCUUUGACGGGUAGCCGGCCUGAGAGGGUGACCGGCCACAUUGGGACUGAGAUACGGCCCAGACUCCUACGGGAGGCAGCAGUGGGGAAUAUUGCACAAUGGGCGGAAGCCUGCUGCAGCAACGCCGCGUGCGGGAUGACGGCCUUCUGGUUGUAAACCGCUUUCGCCUGUGACGAAGCGUGAGUGACGGUAAUGGGUAAAGAAGCACCGGCUAACUACGUG
rnacentral:rRNA from 1 species